ACCGGAGCGCUCUGAAAACACAGGUUCUCGUUCGAUCACAGAAGUUAAGCAGCGACAAGCUUGGUCAGUACUUUGAUGAGCUUCCGCUUGGGAACAUUGG